CAUUUAUUUGUAGAUCACAUCAUACAAAGUCCCUAAAGCAGUUUGAAAUAUGCACACCCUCGAUCUGAUCUCCCUCUUGAUUGAUUUCAGAAAUCAACCACACACCUGCACAAACAGUUAAAAAAAGGUUAAAAUAUCAAGUGGGUCUAUUCCCUUUUUGUAGGGAAUGAAUUGAGUAUGGUAUUAUUUCACCAUGCACCUUGGUCUAAUUACUCAUUUAGUGGAAAGACAGAAAUUCUUGUCGGCAAGACUUACUAUUGCUGACUGCUCACCAACUAAGGCCGGGGAAAGGAAAUAUAGGUGAAGGUGGACACGAGGUACUUAAGUUGCAGAACGGCCAAGAUGGCGCAGCUGGGGUGUCUUGCAUUGAAUCCAGAAGCAAUCCUGCAACAAACGAUUGGGUUCCAAAGAUCAACGAAGAUCAGGUCUUUGUCUCCUCAAAACCAAAUCGGAGCGAGAGCUCUUAGAUGUGUCGGUAGGAGGGAGCUUUCGAGAAAGGGACUUAGCACCAACUUUCCCUGUAAACUUUUUUAAUCGAUAGAGAUUAGAUGAGCAUCAUGAAAGUUUUAAAAAAUUCACGUAAUGGAUUUUCAACUAUUCAAGCGAUGACUUCUCCC